AAAAACUUAUUUUUACCCUGCCUGAAGAGAUCAUUUUUGUUUUUGAUAUUAUUGGUUGAGAUAUCUCUCUCCCUUAUGCUUCUUAUUGUGAGAACAUUGAGCACUUUUACAAUUAUUUGGGGUUUUUAUGAUGUUUUAGUUGGUUUAUAUAUAGUUCCCCUUUCUCUAAUGUGUUGUUCAUUGUUACAUCUGUUCUGUAAUCUGUGUGUUAUCUUGCUGGCUGCAAACAAAUCUACUUAAGGGUACAAAUAAACGCACCUGAACCUGAACUGUAAUCACAUUAUAUUAAUAAUUAAAUCAUUCUUUUUUAUUUUCAUUCUUGUCUAGAACGAAUAGCAAGUUUUGAAUUGAUCGGGCUGGUCAUAGCGAUACUCUGCUUGGUGAUUUCUCUGAUUGGAAAUGUUUCUCUCAUUUGCUUCCAAACUCCGAGAGAAGAAAGUGAACAAUCUAAAGCUGCUGUCGUCCUGCAAUUAAACAGCGAGAGGGUGAAAAAUCAACAGAUUGAUGAGGAGACUAAAGUUUACUCUGCUGUGGUCUUCACCAUGAGGAAAGCUGACCGUGGUGCAGUGAAGGAUGCAAAAGUAGCGCAGAGGAAAAGGAUGUGUGCUGCUGUGAAGGAUUUUGGUUUGAAUUAGUGAGUGAAAAGGUCUGUUUGGCUACAUUUGAUUUAGCUGAUUUUAGUUUGUUUAAAGCUUAAGAAAAUGCUGAUUACCUCCAAAUAUCUACACUUAGAUAACUUAAGGAGGUGCUAUGAAUAUUCUAUCACUCAGGUUGUGACUGUAUUGGUAUGUGUAUGCAAAUGAUAUUCUAUAAUUCAUAAUAAAAUGUAUUUGUCAAACCUCCUUGGAUUAAAGGACUGUAACAUUCAGGCUUA